rnacentral:rRNA from 1 species
AACGCGAAGAACCUUACCAGCCCUUGACAUCCCGGUCGCGGGAACGAGAGAUCGAUCCCUUCAGUUCGGCUGGACCGGAGACAGGUGCUGCAUGGCUGUCGUCAGCUCGUGUCGUGAGAUGUUGGGUUAAGUCCCGCAACGAGCGCAACCCUCGCCCUUAGUUGCCAUCAUUCAGUUGGGCCCUCUAAGGGGACUGCCGGUGAUAAGCCGCGAGGAAGGUGGGGAUGACGUCAAGUCCUCAUGGCCCUUACGGGCUGGGCUACACACGUGCUACAAUGGCGGUGACAGUGGGACGCAAUGGGGCAACCCUGCGCAAAUCUCAAAAAGCCGUCUCAGUUCGGAUUGUGCUCUGCAACUCGAGCACAUGAAGUUGGAAUCGCUAGUAAUCGCAGAUCAGCACGCUGCGGUGAAUACGUUCCCGGGCCUUGUACACACCGCACUACUA